UUUCUAGUAAUAAUAGUUCAUCCUCAAUCAAAUGUUGUCCUAGACUUCCUGGAAGUCAUUGGUAUUUGUGCAAACAAAACCAGAGAGCCACACUGUGCUAGGUGGCCCUGGAGGAUAUGAAGACAUACGAUGGCCCUGGCACCACUCUUUCUGCCACCCAAGGUGCUCUUUCUUGUCAUUAACAGAAUCUAAACAGGCAAGGAGAACUACUGGAAAAUUUACCAUAGACAGGUGAAGGUUUUCAUACAAAUCUGUUAUGUAGCAGAUGGUUUAUGUCUAAAUAAGUUCUUCUAAUGUAUUUGCAUUUUUGAAAAUAGGCUACAAAGUAACUUAAUGUGAUAACUGGAUUUUUUAUAAAGCAAAAUAAAUCUAUGUUGGAAAUACACAAAGACAAUUAUGUAUGUUACUAGCAAGUCUUAUUUUGUACAAAUUACAGAAUACCCAUUUUUAAAAAAACAUACACAUGACCUUUGAUGGUACAUUUCUAUGCUGGCAAAUAUAUUUCUGAUACAAAGGCACUUUGAAAACCCAAUAUGGUUUGGUUUGUAAGUUUGCAAGGUACAAACUAUUUCUACAAACAUAUGAUUACACUGAAGAACGUCAACAACUGUGACAUUACAUAGAAAACAGACUUCUUUUUGUAAAAACAACACUGGUUUUAUGGGAAUAAAAGCAGUGGUUUCCAGCAGCUUUAGUGAAGACAUUCAGAAGGUUGAAGGCCUCCAGUCUGAAUUUCUCACUGGCUGGGUGGGAUGAUAAGGAUGGGGUGAGUGUGAUCAGCAAGAACCCUCAGCGGGGAAAGAUAACCCAAUACCCUAGAAGGAACCCAGAACCCUCAGCAGUCAGAAUGGCUUGAAGGGAAAGCACACAGGCAGCAGUCUGGGCAGGAUCCGGCUGUGACACCGCUCGAACACGCGGCUGACUCUACCUGCGUCCUUGGUGCUUCUGAGUUGUAGUGGUCGUGUCUCUGUUUCAGAGCACUGGGUAGUACAAUGCUUUGGACUGCACAGUACUGGGAAAGUUUGGUCCUCAAUCAGUUUCCUUCCUUUGACUACAUUGCCGCAAAGUCAAUCUGUACAUAAAGCUGUCUCACUCCAGCCUGGAAAGUUAGAAAGAAAAAUUACAACAUCAAACCUGAAAACCUGAAACAGAUGAACAUUCUAGAAAAGUGGUAGGAAAGCAAACAACACCUCAUUUGUCUUUAAAAAUGGAAUUAUUUUUGUCUUUUGCUUCUAAGAAACUAUCCAUUUUCAUUGUAAGUCGUCAAACUACUACAGGAAAAAAAAAUGUGUGUCAUUAGCCACAUGGCCUGCGUAUGCGCCCUUAGAUGGGUUUAUUUAUGUGCCGCCUCUGUUAGAGGACACGACAGUGCUGGAUUAGGCAGCCACCCAUUCAAACCAGCUCACCACGGGCUAUAUCUUCCCAUGGCUUUUAAAAAUCACAAGUGGCAACUGCUUACUUAUUUUACACUCCGACUCCUUCAGUCUUGGCCAUGAGCUAGCUACUCAAGGGCACUACUGUCUAAAUUGCACCCUAUUUCUUCUGUAUUAUCAAUUUUAUUCUCUCAACUAGGUCAUUUUUAUUAGUGAUCAAACACACUAUAAUUUCUUUCACUG
rnacentral:lncRNA from 1 species